AAAUUAUUUUGUUCAUAAACAUUUUACUAAAAAAGGGAGAGGCUACUUAAUUAUGAUUCAUUUGUAACAAUGUCAAUUUUUUUUCAUCUCUAUUCAGAUUCAUUAUAGCAUAUUAUUCAAUGUGAAUAUUAAAGUAAAAAAAAACACUGUAGAUGUACAAGAACAUUUAAGAAUAAAGUUGAAUUAGGAUCUCAUAAAUUCUGUCCAAUUCCUAUAUCUUUAAAAAUAGUUGUUUUGAUUCAAAGAUGCCAUAUUUUACAUUAAAAAAACAAUUUAUAACAAUGUUGUAUGAAUAGCAGUAAUGUUAAAGCUGAUUCCAUAUUCCUGAAAAACAUGAGGCUAUAUAAAGUUAACAGUAGUUCUUAGUAUCAGUUUUUUUCUAAUCUUAGACCUGAUUGUCUGUACUAUUCUUGUCAUCACAAUUUAUCAGAUAUAAAGUGUUUCGACAUCUUUUCUGCAAUAGAAACAGGUAUCUUUCAAAAAUUUAAGUUAGCAGUGAAAAUGAACUUUUCUCAGUAAUUUCUUUAUGAUAAUAGGUUGUGUUCAGAACACAUGCAAAAAGGUUUCAAACUACAUUGUACCUACAUUUUUAAGUUAAGUAAUAAAUUAAGGAUUGUUUGAACUUAUUAAAAUUUACAGAUAAUUUUUUUUUAUAAUAACCCAGUAAAAACAGUUUGCAGUUUACAAAAAGCAAUUUUUCAUUUGUUCUAUUUCUCAGUACAAGACAGACAGAUAUAAAUGAUUCAUAGAAAAACCCAAUCCUUGAAUACAUAUUUUAAAAAAAAAUAUAUAUUGAUAUAAUAUGAUAACUUUAAAACUAUCCUUACAUUUAUAUAUGAGAAAAUUCUUAAAAUAAAGUUUAUCUUCUCAAAUUUGUAAAUGUCUUUAAUAAAGUCAGCUAUAACAAAAAAACUCAUAUAAAAAAUAUUUACUCAUUCAAUAUUUAUAAUGUUCCUAUUUCAAAAGUAAUACAAGGAUUUCUAGUUCCAAAAACAUUUUGCUUUCAAGAAGAUUCACCAUUCAACAUACAUUUCUUAAAUAAUGAAAAUAUUCUGUAAUGCUCUUACAGUUUUAUUUCCAAAAUUAUGAUGGUUGCAUUAAUAACAAGUAAUUUCUUAAUACAUCAGAAAAAAAUUAUAAUCAAACCUCAAUAUAUAUUAAUAGCUGAUAUGAAAUCCCAUACACUCCUGUUUGGUAGUUUUCUGUUUUGAGAGACAAGAAAUAAAUGAAAAUAAAAUUGCACAAAACUAUAAAAUCAUUGACAUAAAAAGCAUACAAUAUAUACACAGAAAUACAGAUGUUACUAAAAAGUUAAAGCUAUAAAGAUUACAUAUGAAAUAUUUACCUGAUUUAUACUCAAUUAACAGAUUUAUAAGAUAAAUAAUUACAAAAAUGCACAAGAGUGUAGCAGAUGGUUUUUAAACAAUUGCAAUGACAUAUUCCAAUCUUCUUAAAAAUG
rnacentral:lncRNA from 1 species